rnacentral:rRNA from 1 species
UCUGGUUGAUCCUGCCAGUAGUCAUAUGCUUGUCUCAAAGAUUAAGCCAUGCAUGUCUAAGUAUAAAUAGUAUACAGUGAAACUGCGAAUGGCUCAUUAAAACAGUUAUAGUUUAUUUGAUAAUUGACAAUUACAUGGAUAACCGUGGUAAUUCUAGAGCUAAUACAUGCUUAAACGCCCGACUUUAUGGAAGGGUGGUAUUUAUUAGACUGAAGCCAAUAUUCCUUGUGUCUAUUGCGGUGAUUCAUAAUAACUGAUCGAAUCUCUUUUUGAGGUAAAUCAUUCAAGUUUCUGCCCUAUCAGCUUUCGAUGGUAGUGUAUUGGACUACCAUGGCAGUAACGGGUAACGAAGAAUUAGGGUUCGAUUUCGGAGAGGGAGCAUGAGAAACGGCUACCACAUCUAAGGAAGGCAGCAGGCGCGUAAAUUACCCAAUCCUGACUCAGGGAGGUAGUGACAAGAAAUAGCAAACCGGGAACCUCAUGGUUUCACGGUAUUGCAAUGAGAACAAUUUAAAACCCUUAGCGAGAAUCAAGUGGAGGACAAGUCUGGUGCCAGCACCCGCGGUAAUUCCAGCUCCACUAGCGUAUAUUAAAGUUGUCGCAGUUAAAAAGCUCGUAGUUGAACCUCUGUCUGGGGCUAGUUUUGGCUUUGGUCAGGCUAGUUCUAGGCAUCCGCCUACAAGACUUAGAGGGCAUUCAGUUGUUCACUAGGAGGAGUAGGCAUUUUACUUUGAAAAAAUUAGAGUGUUUAAGGCAGGCAAUCGCCCGCAUAUAUUAGCAUGGAAUAAUAGAAUAGGACACUUUUCCAUUUCGUUGGUUAUUGGAAUCGUGUAAUGAUUAAUAGGGACAGUUGUGGGCAUUUGUAUUUAAUUGUCAGAGGUGAAAUUCUUGGAUUUAUUAAAGACAAACUAACGCGAAAGCAUUUGCCAAGGAUGUUUUCAUUAAUCAAGAACGAAAGUUAGGGGAUCAAAGACGAUCAGAUACCGUCCUAGUCUUAACUAUAAACUAUUCCGACUCAAUGUUUGACUGGCUUAUAUAACCAGUUGAGCGUUGUAUGAGAAAUCAAAGUCUUUAGGUUCUGGGGGGAGUAUGGUUGCAAAGCUGAAACUUAAAGGAAUUGACGGAAGAGCACAACCAGGAGUGGAUUCUGCGGCUUAAUUUGACUCAACACGGGGAAACUUACCAGGUUAAAACAAUAGUGGGAUUGACAGUUUGAGAGCGCUUUCUUGAUUGGUUGGGUGGUGGUGCAUGGCCGUUCUUAGUUGGUGGAGUGAUUUGUCUGCUUAAUUGCGUUAACGAACGAGACCUUAACCUGCUUACUAGACUGGCGAUCAUCAAUCGUUAGCUCUUCUUG